AUGUGUGUUAUAGCAGUAAUGGGGUUAAACUGAUAUUAAAAUGACAACUCCAUAGGUGGUACCAGGUCAGGGGAGUUCAUCUCUGCUCCCAGCAUCCCUGGGACAGUACUGAUCAACAUAGCUGACCUGAUGCAGAGGUGGACCAGUGAUGUUUUCCUCUCAGUGGUCCAUAGGGUUUUACUGCCCCCUGCUGGAGACUGGAGCACACUGCAGUCCCUGGCUUUCUUUGUGCAGCUGAAGGAUGAGGUCCUCAUCACCUGUUGUGAUGGGUCCAACAAAUAUCCCCAGGUGAAGGCAGGGUCCUAUCUCAUCCAUCAUUCCUUGAAUGUAAUUAGUUUGUGUAUUGUAAUUAUGUUAUUGAAACAGAAUAAGUCAUUAAUGAGAGAAUAAAUAAGUCCAGUCCAACCA